rnacentral:rRNA from 1 species
UACGUAGGGCCCAAGCGUUGUUCGGAUUUACUGGGCGUAAAGGGCGCGUAGGCGGCGCGGUAAGUCACUUGUGAAAUCUCUGAGCUUAACUCAGAACGGCCAAGUGAUACUGCAGUGCUAGAGUGUGGAAGGGGCAAUCGGAAUUCUUGGUGUAGCGGUGAAAUGCGUAGAUAUCAAGAGGAACACCUGAGGUGAAGACGGGUUGCUGGGCUGACACUGACGCUGAGGCGCGAAAGCCAGGGGAGCAAACGGG